AGAGUUUGAUCCUGGCUCAGGAUGAACGCUAGCUACAGGCUUAACACAUGCAAGUCGAGGGGCAGCAUGGUCUUAGCUUGCUAAGGCCGAUGGCGACCGGCGCACGGGUGAGUAACACGUAUCCAACCUGCCGUCUACUCUUGGACAGCCUUCUGAAAGGAAGAUUAAUACAAGAUGGCAUCAUGAGUCCGCAUGUUCACAUGAUUAAAGGUAUUCCGGUAGACGAUGGGGAUGCGUUCCAUUAGAUAGUAGGCGGGGUAACGGCCCACCUAGUCUUCGAUGGAUAGGGGUUCUGAGAGGAAGGUCCCCCACAUUGGAACUGAGACACGGUCCAAACUCCUACGGGAGGCAGCAGUGAGGAAUAUUGGUCAAUGGGCGAGAGCCUGAACCAGCCAAGUAGCGUGAAGGAUGACUGCCCUAUGGGUUGUAACCUUCUUUUAUAAAGGAAUAAAGUCGGGUAUGGAUACCCGUUUGCAUGUACUUUAUGAAUAAGGAUCGGCUAACUCCGUGCCAGCAGCCGCGGUAAUACGGAGGAUCCGAGCGUUAUCCGGAUUUAUUGGGUUUAAAGGGAGCGUAGAUGGAUGUUUAAGUCAGUUGUGAAAGUUUGCGGCUCAACCGUAAAAUUGCAGUUGAUACUGGAUAUCUUGAGUGCAGUUGAGGCAGGCGGAAUUCGUGGUGUAGCGGUGAAAUGCUUAGAUAUCACGAAGAACUCCGAUUGCGAAGGCAGCCUGCUAAGCUGCAACUGACAUUGAGGCUCGAAAGUGUGGGUAUCAAACAGGAUUAGAUACCCUGGUAGUCCACACGGUAAACGAUGAAUACUCGCUGUUUGCGAUAUACUGCAAGCGGCCAAGCGAAAGCGUUAAGUAUUCCACCUGGGGAGUACGCCGGCAACGGUGAAACUCAAAGGAAUUGACGGGGGCCCGCACAAGCGGAGGAACAUGUGGUUUAAUUCGAUGAUACGCGAGGAACCUUACCCGGGCUUAAAUUGCAGAUGAAUUACGGUGAAAGCCGUAAGCCGCAAGGCAUCUGUGAAGGUGCUGCAUGGUUGUCGUCAGCUCGUGCCGUGAGGUGUCGGCUUAAGUGCCAUAACGAGCGCAACCCUUGUUGUCAGUUACUAACAGGUUCCGCUGAGGACUCUGACAAGACUGCCAUCGUAAGAUGUGAGGAAGGUGGGGAUGACGUCAAAUCAGCACGGCCCUUACGUCCGGGGCUACACACGUGUUACAAUGGGGGGUACAGAGGGCCGCUACCACGCGAGUGGAUGCCAAUCCCCAAAACCUCUCUCAGUUCGGACUGGAGUCUGCAACCCGACUCCACGAAGCUGGAUUCGCUAGUAAUCGCGCAUCAGCCACGGCGCGGUGAAUACGUUCCCGGGCCUUGUACACACCGCCCGUCAAGCCAUGGGAACCGGGGGUACCUGAAGUGCGUAACCGCGAGGAGCGCCCUAGGGUAAAACUGGUGACUGGGGCUAAGUCGUAACAAGGUAGCCG
rnacentral:rRNA from 1 species